rnacentral:misc_RNA from 1 species
ACCCCUAAAGUACCUUAUAUUUCAUUAAUUCUUGUACUGCAUACCGCGUACCCAAUACCCAUACCAUGACUUAGGAAUACAGCGUAUUAGGUAACUAAGGUUCACCCAUGACAACCAACUCUGAUAUCAAGUUAUGUGCACUUGAAUAGGAUCUCAUCACAGGACAAUGACCUAGAAAUCUACCUCAAGUACUUGGACUUUCCCUGAUUCACGUUCCUGCUUUCUUAAAGAAACCUAUUGUGAAG